rnacentral:rRNA from 1 species
UAAGGAAUAUUGCUCAAUGGGCGAAAGCCUGAAGCAGCAACGCCGCGUGAGCGAUGAAGGCCUUCGGGUCGUAAAGCUCUUUUUGGGGAGAUGAGGAAGGACAGUAUCCCCAGAAUAAGGUACGGCUAACUACGUGCCAGCAGCCGCGGUAAAACGUAGGUACCGAGCGUUAUCCGGAUUCACUGGGCGUAAAGCGCGUGCAGGUGGUUGGGUAAGUCGGGCAUGAAAUCUCUUGGCUUAACUGAGAGAAGCUGCUCGAUACUGCUUGACUUGAGGACAUAAGAGGGAGAUGGAAUUCCGCAUGUAGUGGUGAAAUGCGUAGAUAUGCGGAGGAACACCAGUGGCGAAGGCGGUCUCCUGGUAUGUACCUGACACUCAGACGCGAAGGCUAGGGGAGCGAACGGG